UGGCAGGGCCUCGACACACCCGGCACUGCCUCCGCCCUGCUGGGAGGGAACCUGCUGGGUGCGAGGCCCAGAGGCCGCUUCUUCUCCGUCCAAAGGAUGGCGGGGCUGGACCACAUCUCCCUGUCCAGCUACCUUGGGAAGUGGGGGUGGGGGAACCCCUAGUUUCACUAGUUCCUGGAGGUCCCAGAUCACAGCCCCCACAAUGGGUGUAGAAUUCCUGAGUUCUUCCAGGACACCAGGAAUCGCGGCAACCUGGGGCUCCAAACACUAAACCUAACAGGGCGGACCGCCGACAUCCUCCCCGCCAUUGGUGCUGCCUGUCCGUCCAUUACGUGAGCGACCCAGGAGGUGUGCAGUGGUACUGUGGUUUUCAUCCACAUUUCCUUGGAGGCUGACGAUGCUGGACAUCUUCCCAUGUCUUUAUUGGCCAUUUGUAUAUCUUCUUCACAAAAACGACUCUUCAGGUCCUUUGCCCAUUUUUUAAUUGGGUUACUUGUCUUUUGUUGUAAUCCAACCACUUAAAAAAAAUGAAAUAUUGGAAAGAAUGCUUAGAAUUGUGCCCAGUACGUGUUAAAGACUCAAAAAGAGAAACAGGAAGUAGAAGACAUCAGAGGACGUCCCCCAACCCCGCUCCGCGGGAAGGGCAGACGCUGUUUCAUGAAGCUCCUGUUUCACUCAUACAAAUACAUGUGAGCUGGGUUGCAGGUGAACUGUGUUUCUUACUGGGGAUUGUGCUCAGAAAAGUUCAAGUCCCGCAUUCUAAGGAAUGGACUUAGACGUGAUCUGCUAGGUCACAGAAGACACAGGUUUACUCAGCACAGAUCCAAGAUCCCUCCCCAUGACUCCGAAACCCCCCCCAGAACCCUCUAAAACCACUUUUUCCCGUAGGUUUGCAACAACGCCCUUUGACCCUGAAAACUAACCUAUGGGUUGAGGCUAUUUAAGGUCUAUAUCAGCCCUUUUCGUGUGAAUAUUCACAUUCUACUGCAGAGAAAUCAAAGCGCUGCUUCUGAGCUCACUGGAAGUGGUGAAGUAAAAAUGGUUUCCACACCUUCUACCUUUCAAACCUAAAAAACACACAAACAAAUGAACAGAAACAAAAAGUUCUGAAACACAUCUGGUCUCAACGAUUUCCAACAAGGGCCUGCAGGCAUCUCAUCCAAAAAGCUCCCCGGAUUGGCUGAAGCAAUUUACACUUCCACCAGCAGCAUGAGAGCUCGUUUCCUCCACCUUCGCUCAGACUUGAUACAGGAAAGUUGUGCUGAUCUGAUCCGUGAGAAAAGACAGCGUGUUGCUGUUUUAAUAUGCAUUUCCCUGGUUAUUGAAAAGGGUGCACAGAUCCUCUCACGUGGGUUGGCCAUUUGGAUUUUCUCUUCUGGGAACUGUUCAUUGAUCUGUGACUCUUUUCGGACUUAUUUCUUCAGCUCUCCACAGACGGACUCGAACACCAUAUUCCAGUAAUUCUAAUUUUCAGCUGGUGGAGAGUUUGGAUUCAUUCUCACCCAACUUAUCUUUUUUCCCGAGAUAAUAAUGGUAGAAGAGGAACUAAGGAGUCUCAAAUAAGGGUGCUCUCUGCUGUCGGGGCCCAGGGCAGGCCGCCCUCAAAUAUGCCUCAGUGGCAUAUUGGUUAUUUUGAAUUAAAGUUACUUAAGGAAUAGCUGACACAGAGGGACACUCUGACCCUCCUCCCUGUCUCCCCGAGAGCAAGACAUAAAUCUCUCAGGAGGCAGGACACCCUUACUGCCAGAAACAGGGUGUUCAGGGCCAAGAGUCUGUAUAAUCAAACCUGCUACUUCUGUAACUUACCACCCCAAACCCAAACUCCGUUUAGAUUCUUCCCUAAUUAAGCACCCAAAGCCUCAGCUCCUCUGUCCUGUCAGUUCCUCACAAAUUUACCAUUUCUUUAUCCAAAAAAUAUAAAAGCUGCCUCUUUUGGCCACUUCUUAGGUCCCAUUUCUAUGAGACCUCCUGGAGUACGAAUUAAAAUUUGCUUCUUUUUCUCCUGUU